GUAGGUGGCGAGCGUUGUCCGGAAUUAUUGGGCGUAAGGCGCACGCAGGCGGUUCUUUAAGUCUGAUGUGAAAGCCCACGGGCUCAACCGUGGAGGGUCAUUGGAAACUGGAGAACUUGAGUACAGAAGAGGAAAGCGGAAUUCCACGUGUAGCGGUGAAAUGCGUAGAGAUGUGGAGGAACGCCAGUGGCGAAGGCGGCUUUCUGGUCUGUAACUGACGCUGAGGCGCGAAAGCGUGGGGAGCAAACAGGAUUAGAUACCCUGGUAGUCCACGCCGUAAACGAUGAGUGCUAAGUGUUAGGGGGUUUCCGCCCCUUAGUGCUGCAGCUAACGCAUUAAGCACUCCGCCUGGGGAGUACGGCCGCAAAGGCUG
rnacentral:rRNA from 1 species